CACAGGUUGUGAACUCGAAGAGUAGGGCGGGACACGUGGUAUCCUGUCUGAAUAUGGGGGGACCAUCCUCCAAGGCUAAAUACUCCUGACUGACCGAUAGUGAACCAGUACCGUGAGGGAAAGGCGAAAAGAACCCCGGCGAGGGGAGUGAAAAAGAACCUGAAACCGUGUACGUACAAGCAGUGGGAGCACCUUCGGGUGUGACUGCGUACCUUUUGUAUAAUGGGUCAGCGACUUAUAUUCUGUAGCAAGGUUAACCGUAUAGGGGAGCCGCAGGGAAACCGAGUCUUAACUGGGCGUUAAGUUGCAGGGUAUAGACCCGAAACCCGGUGAUCUAGCCAUGGGCAGGUUGAAGGUUGGGUAACACUAACUGGAGGACCGAACCGACUAAUGUUGAAAAAUUAGCGGAUGACCUGUGGCUGGGGGUGAAAGGCCAAUCAAACCGGGAGAUAGCUGGUUCUCCCCGAAAGCUAUUUAGGUAGCGCCUCGUGAACUCAUCUUCGGGGGUAGAGCACUGUUUCGGCUAGGGGGCCAUCCCGGCUUACCAACCCGAUGCAAACUACGAAUACCGAAGAAUGUUAUCACGGGAGACACACGGCGGGUGCUAACGUCCGUCGUGAAGAGGGAAACAACCCAGACCGCCAGCUAAGGUCCCAAAGUCAUGGUUAAGUGGGAAACGAUGUGGGAAGGCACAGACAGCCAGGAUGUUGGCUUAGAAGCAGCCAUCAUUUAAAGAAAGCGUAAUAGCUCACUGGUCGAGUCGGCCUGCGCGGAAGAUGUAACGGGGCUAAACCAUGCACCGAAGCUGCGGCAGCGACGCUUAUGCGUUGUUGGGUAGGGGAGCGUUCUGUAAGCCGUCGAAGGUGUGCUGUGAGGCAUGCUGGAGGUAUCAGAAGUGCGAAUGCUGACAUAAGUAACGAUAAAGCGGGUGAAAAGCCCGCUCGCCGGAAGACCAAGGGUUCCUGUCCAACGUUAAUCGGGGCAGGGUGAGUCGACCCCUAAGGCGAGGCCGAAAGGCGUAGUCGAUGGGAAACAGGUUAAUAUUCCUGUACUUGGUGUUACUGCGAAGGGGGGACGGAGAAGGCUAUGUCAGCCGGGCGACGGUUGUCCCGGUUUAAGCGUGUAGGUGUGUGUUCCAGGCAAAUCCGGUUCACUUUAACACUGAGGCGUGAUGACGAGGCACUACGGUGCUGAAGUGAUAAAUGCCCUGCUUCCAGGAAAAGCCUCUAAGCAUCAGGUAACACGAAAUCGUACCCCAAACCGACACAGGUGGUCAGGUAGAGAAUACCAAGGCGCUUGAGAGAACUCGGGUGAAGGAACUAGGCAAAAUGGUGCCGUAACUUCGGGAGAAGGCACGCUGAUAUGUAGGUGAAGUCCCUGCGGACGGAGCUGAAAUCAGUCGAAGAUACCAGCUGGCUGCAACUGUUUAUUAAAAACACAGCACUGUGCAAACACGAAAGUGGACGUAUACGGUGUGACGCCUGCCCGGUGCCGGAAGGUUAAUUGAUGGGGUUAGCGGCAACGCGAAGCUCUUGAUCGAAGCCCCGGUAAACGGCGGCCGUAACUAUAACGGUCCUAAGGUAGCGAAAUUCCUUGUCGGGUAAGUUCCGACCUGCACGAAUGGCGUAAUGAUGGCCAGGCUGUCUCCACCCGAGACUCAGUGAAAUUGAACUCGCUGUGAAGAUGCAGUGUACCCGCGGCAAGACGGAAAGACCCCGUGAACCUUUACUAUAGCUUGACACUGAACACUGGUCCUUGAUGUGUAGGAUAGGUGGGAGGCUUUGAAGCGUGGACGCCAGUCUGCGUGGAGCCGUCCUUGAAAUACCACCCUUUAAUGGCUGGUGUUCUAACGUGGACCCGUAAUCCGGGUUGCGGACAGUGUCUGGUGGGUAGUUUGACUGGGGCGGUCUCCUCCCAAAGAGUAACGGAGGAGCACGAAGGUUAGCUAAUCCUGGUCGGACAUCAGGAGGUUAGUGCAAUGGCAUAAGCUAGCUUGACUGCGAGAGUGACGGCUCGAGCAGGUGCGAAAGCAGGUCAUAGUGAUCCGGUGGUUCUGAAUGGAAGGGCCAUCGCUCAACGGAUAAAAGGUACUCCGGGGAUAACAGGCUGAUACCGCCCAAGAGUUCAUAUCGACGGCGGUGUUUGGCACCUCGAUGUCGGCUCAUCACAUCCUGGGGCUGAAGUAGGUCCCAAGGGUAUGGCUGUUCGCCAUUUAAAGUGGUACGCGAGCUGGGUUUAGAACGUCGUGAGACAGUUCGGUCCCUAUCUGCCGUGGGCGCUGGAGAAUUGAGGGGGGCUGCUCCUAGUACGAGAGGACCGGAGUGGACGCAUCACUGGUGUUCGGGUUGUCAUGCCAAUGGCACUGCCCGGUAGCUAAAUGCGGAAGAGAUAAGUGCUGAAAGCAUCUAAGCACGAAACUUGCCCCGAGAUGAGUUCUCCCUGAGACUUUAAGUCUCCUGAAGGAACGUUGAAGACGACGACGUUGAUAGGCCGGGUGUGUAAGCGCAGCGAUGCGUUGAGCUAACCGGUACUAAUGAACCGUGAGGCUUAACC
rnacentral:rRNA from 1 species